rnacentral:rRNA from 1 species
CUAAGAAUCUUCCGCAAUGGGGGAAACCCUGACGGAGCGACGCCGCGUGGACGAAGAAGGCCGCAAGGUUGUAAAGUCCUUUUGCAGGCGAAGAAUAGGCUUAGGAGUGGAACGCCUGAGCGAUGACGUUAGCCUGCGAAUAAGCCCCGGCCUAUUACGUGCCAGCAGCCGCGGUAACACGUAUGGGGCGAGCGUUGUUCGGAAUUACUGGGCAUAAAGGGCGUUUAGGCGGUUUCGCAAGCCUGGCGUGAAAGGUGCCGGCUCAACCGGUAGAGUUGGCUGGGAACUGCGGGACUGGAGUGUUGGAGGGGGAGCUGGAAAUCCAGGUGUAGGGGUGAAAUCUGUAGAGAUCUGGAAGAACACCGGUGGCGAAGGCGAGCUCCUGGCCGAUGACUGACGCUGAGGCGCGAAAGCGGGGGGAGCAAACAG